rnacentral:rRNA from 1 species
GACGAACGCUGGCGGCAGGCUUAACACAUGCAAGUCGAACGCAUCCUUCGGGGUGAGUGGCAGACGGGUGAGUAACGCGUGGGAACGUGCCCUUCAGUUCGGGAUAACCCAGGGAAACUUGGGCUAAUACCGGAUACGUGCGAGAGCAGAAAGAUUUAUCGCUGAAGGAUCGGCCCGCGUCUGAUUAGCUAGUUGGUGGGGUAAUGGCCCACCAAGGCGACGAUCAGUAGCUGGUCUGAGAGGAUGAUCAGCCACAUUGGGACUGAGACACGGCCCAAACUUCUACGGGAGGCAGCAGUGGGGAAUAUGGGACAAUGGGCGCAAGCCUGAUCCAGCCAUACCGCGUGAGUGAUGAAGGCCUUAGGGUUGUAAAGCUCUUUCGUCCGGGACGAUAAUGACGGUACCGGAAGAAGAAGCCCCGGCUAACUUCGUGCCAGCCGCCGCGGUAA